UCUCUUCCCCGGCAACUGUGAGUUCUCAACUCUCUCUCGCUCUCUCCCUCUGUUUAUCUUCCCCUAUGACCCGCCAAACCCUAUUUGUCUUCCGAACUGGAUCUUUGAUCAGCAAAAAUGAUAAGUUUUUUAUUUUAUUUUCGUACAUUAUUUUUUGCAUCUUGGUGCUCAAUGAAAUAUCAACAAAAAUGGCAAGUUUUUAUUUGAUUUUUAUGCAUUUGUUUUUUGCAUCUUGAUGCUCGGUGGAAUAAGAGCAAAAACGGUAAGUUUUUUAUUUUUAUUUUUGUGCAUUCUUUUUUUGUAUCUUGAUGGUCGGCUGAAGAUCAGCAAAAAUGAUAAAGUUUUUAUUUGAUUUUCGUUCAUUCUUUUUUUAUAUCUUGACGCUCGGUGGAGGAAGAGCAAAAAUGACAAGUUUUUAUUUGAUUUUCGUGCAUUCUUUUUUUGCAUAUUGAUGCUUGAUGGAAGAUCAGCAAAAACGACUAAGUUUUUAUUUGAUUUUUGUGCUUUCUUUUUUUGCAUCUUGAUGCUUGUUGGAAGAUUAGCAAAAAUGGCAAGUUGUUAUUUGAUUUUCGUGCUUUUUUUUUGUAUCUUGAUGCUUCGUGGAAGAUCAGCAAAAAUGGCAAGUUUUUAUUUGAUUUUCAUGCGCUUUUUUUGCAUAUUGAUACUUGGUGAAAGAUUAGCAAAAAUGGAAAGGUUUUAUUUGAUUUUCACGCUCUCUUUUUUUGCAUCUUGAUGCUCCGUAGAAGAUCAGCAAAAAUGGCAACUUUUUAUUUGAUUUUCGUACUUUCGUUUUUGGAUUUUUAAUGUGGUAUUUUUUUGGAACUUUCUCUCCAUUAAAGAAGCUGCAUUAACAAAAAUUAGGAGUUUUUUACAGAAUUAUGCAUUAAAAAAAAGGGAUAUGCUCAUUUUUUGUCUAGGGUAAGGGUCUGGGUCUUGGGUCCUAAUCCAUACCCCAGAUAUGGGUACAGGUCUAGGACUCUUUGGACCCGUUGGGUAACUGGUCGUUAGACGGCUCUCAUAUGGAUUUUCAGUAAUGCCGGCCUUGAGGGGCAAGGAAACCGAGAAUCCGCGAGAAGGUCUAGAAAAGAGUUUUCUGAUAAAAGAGGGGGAUGCUAGAAAAGGAUUUGGAAAUAGAUCAGAAGUAUAAUGAAAAUAAGGAAAGAAAGCUAACCUCAAGCUGAGCCCCUAGGCCCAGCACCCGGAGUUAGAGGUCAGUUCAGAAUCGUACUUGGUGUGCCAACUUUUUCGGUCCGUCAAAGUCUGUCGGAUAGGACAUAUCGGUAUCAGGGAAAUUAGGGCAUGUGGGUAUUGGGAUUAGGAUUUAAGGAUGUCAGGCUUAAGGCUCGGGCUUAGGUUUUCCAAGAUCUGGGGUGGAGUGUCAAGUGCAGCACAAUUUCAGCUAGGGUUCAAAGUCUCUCCACUGAUCCAAAAACGAAGACUAAGGCUCCUAUUUAUAAACAAAGGCCCCUUCAAUAGUGGCACAAAAAUUUUGAUUCAAUCUGAACCAUCUAUUUAUAGAGCGAUGGCAAUGCCCAAGUUAGCACCAGCAACGCCACGACUUUAGUGCCUUUAAUCAUUUUGAAGUCAUGUCAAUAGUUUCAACAAUAUCGACGAUUAUAACGUCGUGCAUAACACGCUUCCUUUCAUCAGUGAAAGCAUUAUUCUGGUGGAUAACUUAUGAUUGGGGUUGCUUAUAGACAAUGUCACCACCACUGAUGCUAGUGUUGUUGCCACUCACGCGACUCUAAUGUUCUUUCACUAGUGUUGUCACUGCAAACACGGGAGUGGGCACCACCUACACCAGCCUUAAUGAUUUCAUUUUCAAUAAUUGGUCCUUCCUAUUUAAUGGAAACAAUGUUUCGAAGGUGUAUGGGGCUAACUUUUGCUAGUGUUGUCACCCUUGACUCAAGCGUUAACACCACCAACUCCAAGCCUAAUCAUUCUUUUUUCAAUUAUUUGCACUACCUCAUCUAAUAAAAAUAUUGUUCCACACAUGUCAGGGUUGUCCAGUUGCUAGCGUUGGCACCACCAACAUCAACUUGACCGCCACUGACGCUAAGUUCACGUGAGGCUUCGGCCCUUGUCUUCCUAUGGGUCCUCAGGUCAGUGGUUCAGGCCAAUCAUUUCGAUACAUUGUUGCUGACAGCGUUGCCACCCCUGACUCAGGCAUUAGCAUCCCUAAUAUCAGUGCAAUUAUGAUGUUUCCAUUGGGAUUUCAGACCCAACUUUUGGCGAAUGAUUUGUUUAUACUAUGGAUAACGGAAGGCAUGUGGCAUCGGUGGUCCUAACAUGGGCAUUGGGGGCUCUAGCCCCGUGGUGUAGCCCUUUUACGGUUGCGUUAACUGUCUUGAUGCCAGCAUUGAUGGUCCUGGUGUUGUGGUCUCCGGUGUCGCCGACCUUGACUUUGGCGUUAACAUCUCUAAUGCAUGGGCGUUUGCUAUCCUGGCUUGGACAUUGGUGGUUUUAACGCUAGCGUUGAUGGUCCUGAUGUCAUGGUCUUUGGCAUUGCCAGCCCUUACUCCAGCAAUGUCGUCUCCAUCGCUUCAACAUUUGAUGUCCUAGCUUGGGUGUUGGUGGUCUUGACACCAGAGUUGGUGGUCCUGAUGUCGUGGCCUCUGCUAUCACCAGCCUUGAAUCAAGAGUUGGCACCUCUAGCGCUCGAUCGUUUGUUGUCCUAGCUUGGGCAUUGGUGGUCUUGACGCCUCGGACUAAACUAUCAUUUUUUCAAACAAAUCUCCCAUGGCCACAACUUUCAAAUCAUGCAUCGUAUUUGAUCGAUUCUUGAGCUGUCGAAAAGCUUGUGAUCUCUAUGUUCAUUUAAAAUCCAUUUUGGACCCAAGAGACUUAUUAUUGAGGGGUCUAUGAGGAUUGGGCUUCAGGGUGCUAGGUUUCAAGGUUCUAGGUGUCAGAAUUAUGUACGGAUUGAUUUAUGAGGUAUCUGGUGAUCCUAAGGCCUAUGGUUCUGGAAUGGAUUUAAGGUUCCUAUGGUUCCCAGGUCUUCGGUUUCCUGGAAUUUCAUCAACUAGGGAUGAGGUAUCUACAAUAGUCAAAUACAAUUUCUAAGGGGUUUGUGUGAGAGUUGGAUGGUGCUUUUGGGGGAUGGUCUCUAUCCAUGAACUCCUCCCUGCUCACUCUCCUCCUCUUCUUCGAAUCCCUCCCAUUCUUAAUAGCUCUUCCACCUAAUUCCCUUCGAGAUUCCUCUAUGUAAGGACUAGGACGUUCUGAAGGUGAUGGUUAAGUAUGGAAUUGUGCGUGUGUAGGCGAGUGCGCACUAGUGUGCGUUAGAGCUCAUACAGGGGUAGACGAGUUUGCAUUAGAGCGCGGGCAGAUAGGUACACUGCUGAGAGCGCGAAUGGAUGAGCGCGCUGGCGAGCGUGAGUAGAUGGACGCGUGUUGAGAGCGCAGACAACUAAGUGCGCUGCUGAGCGCAGGUGGUGUAUAGUGGUCUAGGGGUGCUUCUUCUCUCUCAUGGUUGCUCGUUCUCUUCAUGCAUGAGUGUCAUGUGACACAUGCAUGCUUCCACCCUAUCAUUGUGUUUCACGUGCUUAUUAUCUCUCUCUGUUCAUGCAUGAGUUCCAGGUGACACAUGCAUGCUUCUACCCCAUCAUUGUAUUUCCCAUGCUUGCUCUCUCUCUUCAUGCAUGAGUGUCAUGUGACACAUGUAUGAUUCUACCAUCCAUGCUUAUUUAUACUCCCCACUCACUCAAGAAUUGAGGUUUUUUAUCUCUCUCCUCACUGCCCCCUCUCUCUCAUCCAUGUUCUCCUUCUCACCCCUUAAUCAUUUGACCUCCCCAAGCCUUAAUCCCUUAAGCUUGGACCCAACCUAUUGAAACUUGACAGUCAAGGUGAAGUCGGUGGAACACUUUGGAAUUUCGAUUGGAAUAGAGUGAAAGCUGUCGGGUUGAGGAAGGGCGUUCUGGUGAUCGCAACUGGAGCAUCGCAUUCCCUUCCUAAGGAAGCUCUUUUUACUUGUAUGUUUUAAUAGUAGUUUGGCCUUAUAGACCACUUUGUAUUGGAAUUAUGUCUUGUUGAUUGGGUCUUUUGUGCCUUGGACCCAUUUGUAUUCAUCGUUUUGGGACUAUCAUAUGAAAUUUGUGGGACUUGUUUGUCCAUUAAUUCA